rnacentral:lncRNA from 1 species
AUAAACUCAACCAUUUUUCUUUAUCAAAAAAAACAAAAAGGAGUCUGCUUACCACAAGAAAGGAUCGAUGGUUCGAAAACUUGACGUCAACAAUCCUGCAAGAGAAUUUUUCUGAUGAAGUAAACCACCAUAAUUUAUUGGAAGAAGUCUGAUUUGUGUUGGCCGACUCAAGAAAUGCUCUCUAUCUAUAGUAAGCUCCAUGAGCGUAUAAUGAAUGAACUCCCACUCUUCCACUUGCCUCUGAGUUUUACAAUUCAUUUUCAUACGCUUCAUUAGUCUCUAAUUGUUUUAGGCCCAUCAGCAAAAAUAUAUACAAACAAGCCUGCAACUUCUUCUUUUUCUUGGCAACUAUAAGCCGGAUCAUUUAUGGGAUUAGCAUAUUAAAGUCUGUGCUUUUGUAGAUAUAGGAACAUCUCAUGUUUCUUACAAAUUUAGGUACUUUUAUAUUAUAUGGAUGACUGUUUUAUCCUUCAAUCUAAUUGAGUUUCUUCUCCUUGUACCUUCAAUCUAAUUGAGGAGAAUUCAUCAAUAUCAAUCGAUCUCAGAAAUGUGCGAUUAUUUCUCUCUCUUUCUCUUUCUCUAAUGGCAUGGAAUCUAUUGCCUCUAAACUCACCAUUGAUGUCCAUUGCUUCUCCAUCACCUUACAAAAUUCAGAUCUAUGCUUGGCCAAUCUUCUUCCUCGACGAUGCAGGUGGUAAUCUUCCAUAGCUUUUUUGAAUUUGAAUUGUUUGAUCUGAAUUAAUUUCAUCCUCUCUUGCUUCAAUUUCAAAGAGGGAUAAGAAACAAUUGAAAAUUUUAAUCGACUCCAAUUAUUUAAGAUUAGUAUAUUUGGGUUCCCUAUAUAAUAUCUUCUUAGGGUUUAGCUUUCUUCCAUCAAAAAGCUUUUAACUGAUUUUAUUGGGGUUUAUCUGAAUUGUAUGGUGAUGAAACGUUGUUAACAGAUUUUCUAAUUUUUGUCUCUAUCGAUUUUGUUUCCGUAAAUACAUCUUUUGUGUAUAUAUUGUCUUGUACAAAGAAACAUUGAUUAAGUAGAGAAAUAGGAUAAUCAAUCUCUGUACUUAAUACAUCAUCCAUUGAAGCAGGUUAGGAAUCGAUCCAAUAUGAGGCUCUGCAAAAACAAUUCAGAGAAGAUUCUGCAAAAACAAUUUAGGAGAAGAAGGAGUGAAAUCGCAGGGGCAAUUUGGUCAAUUCAUUUCCCAAAAACUGCCUAUCUUCAUAAGCCCAAUCAUAAUGUGCUCUUUCUCUAAUUUAUGGCCCAAAAUGUACCCAAUAUUAUAAAAGCCCCAGUAUAAGCCCCCAAUUUCUGAAAGUUUUUAAAUUUGCUUUUAUUUCCUAAAACUUGUCUAUAAAAAAAAUUUCCUGUAAAACUUUUUUAGUUUGGGACCCUAAAUUUUAAAACCGGCCCUAUACAAAACCUUGAGAUAUCUAUCUCGUUGGAUUAUACUGUAUCUUUAAGAAUGUUGAGUGACAUUUCAUGUUCAUACAUACGUUUGAAGGUUUUCAUCGAAGUGGCUCUCACUUAGGAUCGAAACCUUGUUUACCCUCAGGCCUCAGUAUUAUGUUGCAUAUAAAUCUUUUUAUAACGAACUAAUACGCAUAUUGAAAGUUUGUAAGGAAAAUAUUUUGUAGUAAAAUCUAGACCUUGUUAUAUUGGUUCAGUGACAUAGUGAAUGUUAGUACAAAAUAGCUAUUUGUUACAAAAUCCACAUAAGAUGGUUGUAUUUAUAGAGCUAAGUAAAG